GAUGAAGAACGUAGCGAAAUGCGAUAAGUAAUGUGAAUUGCAGAAUUCAGUGAAUCAUCGAAUCUUUGAACGCACAUUGCGCCCCUUGGUAUUCCGAGGGGCAUGCCUAUUCGAGCGUCAUUGCUGCCCUCAAGCACGGCUUGUGUGUUGGGCCUCCGUCCUCCUCCCGGGGGACGGGCCCGAAAGGCAGCGGCGGCACCGCGUCCGGUCCUCGAGCGUAUGGGGCUUCGUCACCCGCUCUUGUAGGCCCGGCCGGCGCUUGCCGACACAUCAAUCUUUUUUCCAGGUUGACCUCGGAUCAGGUAGGGAUACCCGCUGAACUUAAGCAUAUCAAUAAGCGGAGGA
rnacentral:misc_RNA from 1 species